rnacentral:rRNA from 1 species
UACGGCUCAGUAACACGUAGGUAACCUACCCUCAGGACUGAGAUAACCCCGGGAAACUGGGGCUAAUAUUAGAUAGAUAAAAGAUACUGGAAUGUUCUUUUAUCCAAAGCUUUUGCGCCUGAGGAUGGGCCUGCGUCCGAUUAGGUCGUUGGUGGGGUAAUGGCCCACCAAGCCUGCGAUCGGUACGGGCAGUGGAAGCUGAAGCCCGGAGUUGGGGACUGAGACAAGGCCCCAGGCCCUACGGGGCGCAGCAGGCGCGAAACCUCUGCAAUGCGGGAAACCGUGACAGGGGGAUCCCAAGUGCUCAUGCAUUGCAUGGGCUGUUCUUUGGUCUAAGUAACCAGAGGAGUAAGGGCUGGGCAAGACCGGUGCCAGCCGCCGCGGUAAUACCGGCAGCUCAAGUGGUAGCCGCGAUUAUUGGGCCUAAAACGUUCGUAGCCGGAUAAGUAAGUCUUUGGUUAAAUCCUGCGACUCAACCGUGGGAAUUCUAGAGAUACUGCUCGUCUUGAGACCGGGAGAGGUUGGAGGUACUCCUAGGGUAGGGGUGAAAUCCUGUAAUCCUAGGGGGACCACCUGUGGCGAAGGCGUCCAACUGGAACGGGUCUGACGGUGAGGGACGAAACCUAGGGGAGCGASCCGGAUUAGAUACCCGGGUAGUCCUAGGCGUAAAUGAUGC